GUGCUCACUUCGGCAGCGCGUGCACUAAAAUUGGAAGGACAGAGAGGAGAUUGGUGUGGCCCCUGUGCAAGGACCACAUGAAAAUUCGCAGAGCGUUACAUAUUUUA